rnacentral:rRNA from 1 species
UUGAAUAUUUGCCUAGUGGCGGAUGGGUGAGUAACGCGUGGGCAACCUACCCUGUACAGGGGGAUAACAAUGGGAAACCAUUGCUAAUACCCCAUAAUACCUUUUAAGGGCAUCCUUGAAAGGUCAAAGAAUUUCGGUAUAGGAUGGGCCCGCGUCUGAUUAGCUAGUUGGUGGGGUAAUGGCCUACCAAAGCAACGAUCAGUAGCCGGCCUGAGAGGGUGAACGGCCACACUGGAACUGAGACACGGUCCAGACUCCUACGGGAGGCAGCAGUGGGGAAUAUUGCACAAUGGGGGAAACCCUGAUGCAGCAACGCCGCGUGAGCGAUGAAGGCUUUCGAGUCGUAAAGCUCUGUCCUAAGGGAAGAUAAUGACGGUACCUUAGGAGGAAGCCCCGGCUAACUACGUGCCAGCAGCCGCGGUAAUACGUAGGGGGCAAGCGUUAUCCGGAAUUAUUGGGCGUAAAGGGUGCGUAGGCGGCCUUAUGGGUCAGAGGUUAAAUACUACGGCUUAACCGUAGUAUGCCUUUGAAACUAUAGGGCUUGAGUGCAGGAGAGGAGAGUGGAAUUCCUAGUGUAGCGGUGAAAUGCGUAGAUAUUAGGAGGAAUACCAGUGGCGAAGGCGACUCUCUGGACUGCAACUGACGCUAAGGCACGAAAGCGUGGGUAGCGAACAGGAUUAGAUACCCUGGUAGUCCACGCUGUAAACGAUGAGUGCUAGGUGUUGGGGGUCAAACCUCGGUGCCGCAGUUAACGCAUUAAGCACUCCGCCUGGGGAGUACGUUCGCAAGAAUAAAACUCAAAGGAAUUGACGGGGACCCGCACAAGCAGCGGAGCAUGUGGUUUAAUUCGAAGCAACGCGAAGAACCUUACCUGGAUUUGACAUCCCUCUGACCGUCUUUUAAUCGAGAUUUUCCCUUCGGGGACAGAGGAGACAGGUGGUGCAUGGUUGUCGUCAGCUCGUGUCGUGAGAUGUUGGGUUAAGUCCCGCAACGAGCGCAACCCUUGUCUUUAGUUGCCAUCAAGUAAAGUUGGGCACUCUAAAGAGACUGCCAAGGUAAACUUGGAGGAAGGUGGGGAUGACGUCAAAUCAUCAUGCCCUUUAUGUCCAGGGCUACACACGUGCUACAAUGGCCGAUACAACGGGCAGCUAAGGAGCAAUCCGGAGCAAAUCCUACAAAAUCGGUCCCAGUUCGGAUUGUGGGCUGAAAUUCGCCCACAUGAAGUCGGAGUUGCUAGUAAUCGCGAAUCAGCAUGUCGCGGUGAAUGCGUUCCCGGCUCUUGUACACACCGCCCGUCA